AUUGAACGCUGGCGGCAUGCCUUACACAUGCAAGUCGAACGGCAGCACGGGAGCAAUCCUGGUGGCGAGUGGCGAACGGGUGAGUAAAGCAUCGGAACGUGCCCAGUCGUGGGGGAUAACGUAGCGAAAGCUACGCUAAUACCGCAUACGAUCUGUGGAUGAAAGCGGGGGACCGUAAGGCCUCGCGCGAUUGGAGCGGCCGAUGUCAGAUUAGGUAGUUGGUGAGGUAAAGGCUCACCAAGCCGACGAUCUGUAGCUGGUCUGAGAGGACGACCAGCCACACUGGGACUGAGACACGGCCCAGACUCCUACGGGAGGCAGCAGUGGGGAAUUUUGGACAAUGGGCGCAAGCCUGAUCCAGCAAUGCCGCGUGCAGGAUGAAGGCCUUCGGGUUGUAAACUGCUUUUGUACGGAGCGAAACGGCUUCCGCUAAUACUGGGGGCUAAUGACGGUACCGUAAGAAUAAGCACCGGCUAACUACGUGCCAGCAGCAGCCGCGG
rnacentral:rRNA from 1 species